CUCAGUGAAAAGAAAGAAAACAAAAUGGCAGCAGAAAAAGGUCAUCCGAGUUCUCCUGGACAGUUGUCUCAUGACAAUCAGCUGGAUGGAUACCAAUCCACAGAAGAGUUAUGUUACAUUCCAUAUAGAUUAGCUAAAUUAUACAUUACCAAGAUUGCAAAAGACAUGCACCAGAUGAAAAUCAGAUAUGUGAAGGUUAUCAAAGAGCUGCAGCAUGUUGGACAGGAAAGCCAGG